rnacentral:rRNA from 2 species
UUUUAUGGGUAACCUGAAUGUUUGACUGGGAUAACUCCGGGAAACCGGAGCUAAUACCGGAUAGUUCCUUGAACCGCAUGGUUCAAGGAUGAAAGACGGUUUCGGCUGUCACUUACAGAUGGACCCGCGGCGCAUUAGCUAGUUGGUGGGGUAAUGGCUCACCAAGGCGACGAUGCGUAGCCGACCUGAGAGGGUGAUCGGCCACACUGGGACUGAGACACGGCCCAGACUCCUACGGGAGGCAGCAGUAGGGAAUCUUCCGCAAUGGACGAAAGUCUGACGGAGCAACGCCGCGUGAGUGAUGAAGGUUUUCGGAUCGUAAAGCUCUGUUGUUAGGGAAGAACAAGUGCGAGAGUAACUGCUCGCACCUUGACGGUACCUAACCAGAAAGCCACGGCUAACUACGUGCCAGCAGCCGCGGUAAUACGUAGGUGGCAAGCGUUGUCCGGAAUUAUUGGGCGUAAAGGGCUCGCAGGCGGUUUCUUAAGUCUGAUGUGAAAGCCCCCGGCUCAACCGGGGAGGGUCAUUGGAAACUGGGAAAACUUGAGUGCAGAAGAGGAGAGUGGAAUUCCACGUGUAGCGGUGAAAUGCGUAGAGAUGUGGAGGAACACCAGUGGCGAAGGCGACUCUCUGGUCUGUAACUGACGCUGAGGAGCGAAAGCGUGGGGAGCGAACAGGAUUAGAUACCCUGGUAGUCCACGCCGUAAACGAUGAGUGCUAAGUGUUAGGGGGUUUCCGCCCCUUAGUGCUGCAGCUAACGCAUUAAGCACUCCGCCUGGGGAGUACGGUCGCAAGACUGAAACUCAAAGGAAUUGACGGGGGCCCGCACAAGCGGUGGAGCAUGUGGUUUAAUUCGAAGCAACGCGAAGAACCUUACCAGGUCUUGACAUCCUCUGACAACCCUAGAGAUAGGGCUUUCCCUUCGGGGACAGAGUGACAGGUGGUGCAUGGUUGUCGUCAGCUCGUGUCGUGAGAUGUUGGGUUAAGUCCCGCAACGAGCGCAACCCUUGAUCUUAGUUGCCAGCAUUCAGUUGGGCACUCUAAGGUGACUGCCGGUGACAAACCGGAGGAAGGUGGGGAUGACGUCAAAUCAUCAUGCCCCUUAUGACCUGGGCUACACACGUGCUACAAUGGACAGAACAAAGGGCUGCAAGACCGCAAGGUUUAGCCAAUCCCAUAAAUCUGUUCUCAGUUCGGAUCGCAGUCUGCAACUCGACUGCGUGAAGAUGGAAUCGCUAGUAAUCGCGGAUCA